rnacentral:rRNA from 1 species
UGGGGAAUAUUGCACAAUGGGCGAAAGCCUGAUGCAGCAACGCCGCGUGAGGGAUGACGGCCUUCGGGUUGUAAACCUCUUUUAGUAGGGAAGAAGCGAAAGUGACGGUACCUGCAGAAAAAGCGCCGGCUAACUACGUGCCAGCAGCCGCGGUAAUACGUAGGGCGCAAGCGUUAUCCGGAAUUAUUGGGCGUAAAGAGCUCGUAGGCGGUUUGACGCGUCUGCUGUGAAAUCUGGGGGCUCAACCCCCAGCCUGCAGUGGGUACGGGCAGACUAGAGUGCGGUAGGGGAGAUUGGAAUUCCUGGUGUAGCGGUGGAAUGCGCAGAUAUCAGGAGGAACACCGAUGGCGAAGGCAGAUCUCUGGGCCGUAACUGACGCUGAGGAGCGAAAGGGUGGGGAGCAAACAGG